rnacentral:rRNA from 1 species
AUUGAACGCUGGCGGCAUGCUUUACACAUGCAAGUCGAACGGUAACAGGCCUUCGGGCGCUGACGAGUGGCGAACGGGUGAGUAAUGCAUCGGAACGUGCCCAGUCGUGGGGGAUAACGCAGCGAAAGCUGUGCUAAUACCGCAUACGAUCUGCGGAUGAAAGCGGGGGACCUUCGGGCCUCGCGCGAUUGGAGCGGCCGAUGUCAGAUUAGGUAGUUGGUGGGGUAAAGGCUCACCAAGCCAACGAUCUGUAGCUGGUCUGAGAGGACGACCAGCCACACUGGGACUGAGACACGGCCCAGACCCCUACGGGAGGCAGCAGUGGGGAAUAUUGGACAAUGGGCGCAAGCCUGAUCCAGCAAUGCCGCGUGCAGGAAGAAGGCCUUCGGGUUGUAAACUGCUUUUGUACGGAACGAAACGGUCUGGGUUAAUACCCUGGGCUAAUGACGGUACCGUAAGAAUAAGCACCGGCUAACUACGUGCCAGCCGCCGCCGUAAGAC